GUUGUAGCUCAGUGGUAGAGAGCUUGCCUAGCAUGGGAGAGACCCUGGGUUCAAUCCUCAGCACCAUA
rnacentral:tRNA from 1 species